rnacentral:rRNA from 1 species
GUCUACGGUCAUGCCACCCUGAACAAGCCUGAUCCCGUCUGAUCUCGGAAGCAGGGUCGGGCUGGUUAGUACUUGGAUGGGAGACCACCUAAAAAGACCAGGUGCUGUAGGCG